rnacentral:rRNA from 1 species
GAUGAACGCUGGCGGCGUGCCUAAUACAUGCAAGUCGAGCGAACAGACGAGGAGCUUGCUCCUCUGACGUUAGCGGCGGACGGGUGAGUAACACGUGGAUAACCUACCUAUAAGACUGGGAGAACUUCGGGAAACCGGAGCUAAUACCGGAUAAUAUAUUUAACCGCAUGGUUCAAUAGUGAAAGACGGUUUUGCUGUCACUUAUAGAUGGAUCCGCGCCGCAUUAGCUAGUUGGUAAGGUAACGGCUUACCAAGGCGACGAUGCGUAGCCGACCUGAGAGGGUGAUCGGCCACACUGGAACUGAGACACGGUCCAGACGCCUACGGGAGGCAGCAGUAGGGAAUCUUCCGCAAUGGGCGAAAGCAUGACGGAGCAACGCCGCGUGAGUGAUGAAGGUCUUCGGAUCGUAAAACUCUGUUAUGAGGGAAGAACAAAUGUGUAAGUAACUAUGCACGUAUUGACGGUACCUAAUCAGAAAGCCACGGCUAACUACGUG